AUGAAACUGAUACAACUCUUCAAAGAAUCAGCAUAUUGUGCAGUUGGCACUGGAGAUACCACUCUGUUUUGGACAGAAAAUGGGCAAGAUAGAGUCCUUGCCGAGCAAUACCCUGAAUUACACUCUUUUGUGAUCAAUGAUCAAUGCUCUGUGGACCAUGUAAAGCAAUCUAUUGAUCUCAUGGAGCAGUUUCACACCCCAAUUUCUGCUAUUGCCUUCGAGCAACUGAAUGAGCUAACCCCAAUAUUACAGCAACUUGGAAGCUCUGCCGACAGAUGUAUCUAUAUGUGGAGAUCUAAUAGAUUCAAAGUUAAUAAAAUGUAUAUGCAAAGGAUGGGUUUUUUGCAGGAAAAUCAUUUGUUUUGA
rnacentral:rRNA from 1 species